AUUGAACGCUGGCGGCAGGCUUAACACAUGCAAGUCGAGCGGAGCGAGGGUGCUUGCACCUUAGCUUAGCGGCGGACGGGUGAGUAAUGCUUAGGAAUCUGCCUAUUAGUGGGGGACAACAUUCCGAAAGGAAUGCUAAUACCGCAUACGCCCUACGGGGGAAAGCAGGGGAUCUUCGGACCUUGCGCUAAUAGAUGAGCCUAAGUCGGCUUAGCUAGUUGGUGGGGUAAAGGCCUACCAAGGCGACGAUCUGUAGCGGGUCUGAGAGGAUGAUCCGCCACACUGGGACUGGGACACGGCCCAGACUCCUACGGGAGGCAGCAGUGGGGAAUAUUGGACAAUGGGCGGAAGCCUGAUCCAGCCAUGCCGCGUGUGUGAAGAAGGCCUUUUGGUUGUAAAGCACUUUAAGCGAGGAGGAGGCUACUUAGAUUAAUACUCUGGGAUAGUGGACGUUACUCGCAGAAUAGGCACCGGCUAACUCUGUGCCAGCCGCCGCCGUAA
rnacentral:rRNA from 1 species